UGGGGAAUAUUGCACAAUGGACGGAAGUUUGAUGCAGCGACGCCGCGUGGAGGGUGUAGGCCUUCGGGUUGUGAACUCCUUUUUCUCGCGAAAAAGGCACAGUUUUGGCUGUGUUGAUGGUAGUGGGGGAAGAAGCGCCGGCUAACUACGUGCCAGCAGCCGCGGUAAUACGUAGGGCGCGAGCGUUGUCCGGAUUUAUUGGGCGUAAAGAGCUCGUAGGUGGUUCGUCGCGUCUGUCGUGAAAGCCAGCAGCUUAACUGUUGGUCUGCGGUGGGUACGGGCGGGCUUGAGGGCGGUAGGGGUGACUGGAAUUCCUGGUGUAGCGGUGGAAUGCGCAGAUAUCAGGAGGAACACCGAUGGCGAAGGCAGGUUACUGGGCCGUUACUGACACUGAGGAGCGAAAGCGUGGGGAGCGAACAGG
rnacentral:rRNA from 1 species